rnacentral:sRNA from 1 species
AGAAAAGAAGUCAGUACCCAGAAAUCAUCUUCCUUGGAACAGGGUCUGCCAUCCCGAUGAAGAUUCGAAAUGUCAGUGCCACACUUGUCAACAUAAGCCCCAACACGUCUCUGCUACUGGACUGUGGUGAGGGCACGUUUGGGCAGCUGUGCCGUCAUUACGGAGACCAGGUGGACAGAGUCCUGGGCACCCUGGCUGCUGUGUUUGUGUCCCACCUGCACGCAGAUCACCACACGGGCUUGCUAAAUAUCUUGCUGCAGAGAGAACGAGCCUUGGCAUCUUUGGGAAAGCCACUUCACCCUUUGCUGGUGAUUGCCCCCAGCCAGCUCAAAGCCUGGCUCCAGCAGUACCACAACCAGUGCCAGGAGGUCCUGCACCACAUCAGUAUGAUUCCUGCCAAAUGCCUUCAGGAAGGGGCUGAGAUCUCCAGUCUUGCAGUGGAAAGAUUGAUCAGUUCGCUGUUGGGAACAUGUGAUUUGGAAGGGGUAAGGGGCACAGCUGCAGGCAUCGUGGGGGCGAGGUGGGGAGCAGAGCUGCAGAGCCCUCCAGCCCCGCCCUUUUAGUUUCAGACCUGUCUGGUGCGGCACUGCAAGCAUGCGUUUGGCUGUGCGCUGGUGCACACCUCUGGCUGGAAAGUGGUCUAUUCCGGGGACACCAUGCCCUGCGAGGCUCUGGUCCGGAUGGGGAAAGAUGCCACCCUCCUGAUACAUGAAGCCACCCUGGAAGAUGGUUUGGAAGAGGAAGCAGUGGAAAAGACA